GUGCUCACUUUGGCAGCACAUAUACUAAAACCAGAAUGAUACACAGGAGAUUAGAAUGGCUCCUGUGCAAGGAUGCCACAUAAAUUUGUGGAGUGUAAAAAAAAAUC
ensembl:snRNA U6 U6 spliceosomal RNA